rnacentral:rRNA from 1 species
UGGGGAAUUUUGGACAAUGGGCGCAAGCCUGAUCCAGCCAUGCCGCGUGUCUGAAGAAGGCCUUCGGGUUGUAAAGGACUUUUGUCCGGGAGCAAAUCCCAGUGGUUAAUACCUACUGGGGCUGAGAGUACCGGAAGAAUAAGCACCGGCUAACUACGUGCCAGCAGCCGCGGUAAUACGUAGGGUGCAAGCGUUAAUCGGAAUUACUGGGCGUAAAGCGUGCGCAGGCGGUUGUGCAAGUCUGAUGUGAAAGCCCCGGGCUUAACCUGGGAACGGCAUUGGAGACUGCACGACUAGAGUGCGUCAGAGGGGGGUAGAAUUCCGCGUGUAGCAGUGAAAUGCGUAGAGAUGCGGAGGAAUACCGAUGGCGAAGGCAGCCCCCUGGGAUGACACUGACGCU